CCUACGGGUGGCAGCAGUGAGGAAUAUUGGUCAAUGGACGCAAGUCUGAACCAGCCAUGCCGCGUGCAGGAAGACGGCUCUAUGAGUUGUAAACUGCUUUCGUACGAGGGCAAAUGCAGAUACGAGUAUCUGUCUGAAAGUAUCGUACGAACAAGGAUCGGCCAACCCCGUGCCAGCAGCCGCGGCAAUACAGAGGCUUCAAGCGUUGUCCGGAUUUAUUGGGUUUAAAGUGCGCGUAGGCGGUCGGAUAAGUUAGAGGUGAAAUCCCGAGGCUCAACUUAGGAAGUGCCUCUGAUACUGUUCGGCUAGAGAGUAGUUGCGGGAGGCGGAAUGUAUGGUGUAGCGGUGAAAUGCGUAGAGAUC
rnacentral:rRNA from 1 species